UAUGUGAUCGUCUCUCGCAUAUCAAUAAGCGGAGGAAAAGAAACUAACAAGGAUUCCCCUAGUAACGGCGAGUGAAGCGGGAAGAGCUCAAAUUUGAAAUCUUAAAGGGUUUCCCUUUACGAAUUGUAGUUUAAAGAAGUGUUUUCUGUUGAGGUUUUGGUAAAAGUUCUUUGGAAUAGGACAUCAUAGAGGGUGAGAAUCCCGUAUUUGACCUUUACUUUCAGCUUUGUGAUACACUUUCAAAGAGUCGGAUUGUUUGGGAAUGCAGUCCAAAAUGGGUGGUAAAUUUCAUCUAAAGCUAAAUAUUGGCGAGAGACCGAUAGCGAACAAGUACCGUGAGGGAAAGAUGAAAAGAACUUUGAAAAGAGAGUUAAACAGUACGUGAAAUUGUCAAAAGGGAAGCGUUUGACACCAGUGUUGUUUUUCUGAAAAUCAAUUAAAGAACUGUUUAUGCUAAGUUGUUUAGACUUUAUCAGCUAACUGUUUAGUUUUGAGCUUUUCUUUAAUGCACUUUUCAGUUAACAAGUCAACAUCAAUUUCUUUUGCUGUAAAAAAGCUUGAGGAAGGUGGCUUGAGAUUCGUCUUAAGUGUUUAUAGCCUCUUGCCUAUGCAGUCGGAGAGAUUGAGGUCUGCAGCGUAGAUCCUUCGGGGCUAAAUGCAUUUGUGCUAAGUUAUAGCAUUUUAUAGACAACUUGUUGACUAUGAUUUGUCUUGUAGCUUACUCGCUUAUGUUAUUUUACCUACGCUUAGGAUGUUGACACACGCGCGUGCUCG
rnacentral:rRNA from 1 species